GACGAACGCUGGCGGCGUGCCUAAUACAUGCAAGUAGAACGCUGAAGGAGGAGCUUGCUUCUCUGGAUGAGUUGCGAACGGGUGAGUAACGCGUAGGUAACCUGCCUGGUAGCGGGGGAUAACUAUUGGAAACGAUAGCUAAUACCGCAUAAUAGCAGUUGUUGCAUGACAACUGUUUGAAAGGUGCAAUUGCACCACUACCAGAUGGACCUGCGUUGUAUUAGCUAGUUGGUGGGGUAACGGCUCACCAAGGCGACGAUACAUAGCCGACCUGAGAGGGUGAUCGGCCACACUGGGACUGAGACACGGCCCAGACUCCUACGGGAGGCAGCAGUAGGGAAUCUUCGGCAAUGGACGGAAGUCUGACCGAGCAACGCCGCGUGAGUGAAGAAGGUUUUCGGAUCGUAAAGCUCUGUUGUAAGAGAAGAACGAGUGUGAGAGUGGAAAGUUCACACCGUGACGGUAUCUUACCAGAAAGGGACGGCUAACUACGUG
rnacentral:rRNA from 1 species